rnacentral:rRNA from 1 species
UACGGAGGGAGCUAGCGUUGUUCGGAAUUACUGGGCGUAAAGCGCACGUAGGCGGCUAGUCAAGUCGGGGGUGAAAGCCCGGGGCUCAACCCCGGAACUGCCCUCGAAACUAGAUAGCUAGAAUCUUGGAGAGGCGAGUGGAAUUCCGAGUGUAGAGGUGAAAUUCGUAGAUAUUCGGAAGAACACCAGUGGCGAAGGCGACGCGCUGGACAAGUAUUGACGCUGAGGUGCGAAAGCGUGGGGAGCAAACAGG